GUAAAUUCUAUCAACAAAUUAUUUUUGAACGAAAAAAUAAAAAAUCCUCUUAACAAACUAUUUUUGAAAAAAAAAAUAGAAAAUCUUCUUUAAACAUACAACUACCUAAAUUCUCAAUACACCGAAAAGACUACAUUUUGUUGUUGUGUAGAAAACUAAAGCUAACUAUCUCUACUUAUAUUAAUACUCAAAUUCUAUUUUCUUUCAACUACCCGAUGUGGGACUUGGAUUAAUAUAUUAUUUGAUCCAAC
rnacentral:lncRNA from 1 species